AGGACGAACGCUGGCGGCGUGCUUAACACAUGCAAGUCCAACGGUGACCUCGGAGCUUGCUCCGGGUGAUCAGUGGCGAACGGGUGAGUAACACGUGAGUAACCUGCCCCAGACUCUGGGAUAACCCCGGGAAACCGGAGCUAAUACCGGAUACGACACGAAGAGGCAUCUCUAUCGUGUGGAAAGUCUUUCGGUCUGGGAUGGACUCGCGGCCUAUCAGCUAGUUGGUGAGGUAACGGCUCACCAAGGCGACGACGGGUAGCCGGCCUGAGAGGGCGACCGGCCACACUGGGACUGAGACACGGCCCAGACUCCUACGGGAGGCAGUAGUGGGGAAUAUUGCACAAUGGGCGAAAGCCUGAUGCAGCGACGCCGCGUGGGGGAUGACGGCCUUCGGGUUGUAAACCCCUUUCAGCAGGGAAGAAGCGAAAGUGACGGUACCUGCAGAAGAAGCACCGGCUAACUACGUGCCAGCAGCCGCGGUAAUACGUAGGGUGCGAGCGUUGUCCGGAAUUAUUGGGCGUAAAGAGCUUGUAGGCGGUCUGUCGCGUCUGCUGUGAAAAUCCGGGGCUCAACCCCGGACUUGCAGUGGGUACGGGCAGACUAGAGUGUGGUAGGGGAGACUGGAAUUCCUGGUGUAGCGGUGAAAUGCGCAGAUAUCAGGAGGAACACCGAUGGCGAAGGCAGGUCUCUGGGCCACUACUGACGCUGAGAAGCGAAAGCAUGGGGAGCGAACAGGAUUAGAUACCCUGGUAGUCCAUGCCGUAAACGUUGGGAACUAGGUGUGGGUCUCAUUCCACGAG
rnacentral:rRNA from 1 species